UCCUUGUACUGGAGUGCGUGUCUACUGAAGGCCAUUUACUGCUCCCCUACACAAGAGUACGGGGGGACCUGGAACGUGGUGCGAGACACUGGAUCUAGCCCUGGGCAGAAUAUCCAGAGAAUGGUGCGUGUCGUUCUGUUCAUGGCUACCCAUGUCCUAAAUCAUAAUGUAUCGGUUAUGCAAGAAAAUUCGUUUGGAGUGUUUCCGGUUAUGAGUUAAAAGAGAACAACACGCCGCUUCAACAGGAACGUAUUCACCAAAACUAAAUAAAGAUGCUGCUUAUCUGGAACCAAAGAUAGACCCAGAUAGUAUAUCAACUGUGUGUAUAGUAGGUGCAGAGAAUUGAAGAAGAUAGAGUGUAUUAUUCUAAGGGACCAUUAGACAGAGAUCGCCUCCAAAAAAAUAUAUUUACCGAAUGCACCAAAUCGACAUGCCAGAGAACAACCCAUCAGGCAACAUGAUGGUUACAGAAUAAACGACUCUAAGCUGUUGCAGCCACAGAGACUUGGACUAAACUUUGAUUACAUAUCAGAAUCUAAUGUGUAAUAAAAAUACUAGUUAAU